rnacentral:tRNA from 1 species
GGGCACAUGGUGUAGUUGGUUAUCACAUCCGCUUAGCAUAUUAUAGCUGAUGCGGGGGGUGCUGGGUUCAAUUCCCAGUGUGUCCA